UACAUUUUCUUCUUUAUGUCU
rnacentral:miRNA from 1 species